UCUUGAACUUGGUAUCAUAUAGACUAGAGGGGCAUUUUUGUAAUCUUAUACCGUGAUGACGAAAGUAAAGGGUCAACUAACAUUAUUUUUUAAAAAUGGGUCAUUUGGCAUUUUGGACCCAAAAAUUGGGUCAUCUGUAAAAAUUUCCCCUAUCUCUCUGUCUUCUCCUUCGUGCAGAACCCCUUCGCCUUUUUUGUUUUAUGUUUUUGCACUGCUUUAGUUGCCCAAGUCUCCGCCUGAUCUCUCUCCCUCGCCACCGACUCCAAGCACUGCCGAUCGAAGUUGGCCCAGCCCCAGUCGUGUCGGUUUUUCAUCGUUCACCACUUCCCCUCUAACUCCAGCAAACGAAGCCACACCGAUCACCAGCGACCAGCCCUACCCUCUGCUCGACACCCAAUUGGUCAUAUCUACAUUGUAGCUCGAUUCCAACCGCCGUCAAGAUCGGAUCUACACUCUCGUCGCCGCCGCCACUGGUUUCGUCGGAAUCUUGGUUUUGGGCGAUGUGAGUUGUAGGUGGUAGACGACGGCGUGGGGUGAAUUGAUGGCUCGGUACGAGGUGACACGAACAACUUAGGACAAAUCGAUGGCACGAACGGCGUGGGGCGAGUCGACGAUGAUAAGUUGAGCAAAUUUGAUCGACGGCACGACGGGGCGAGAAAAUUCGAUCAAUGACGAU